GACAGAGGGUGCAAACGUUGUUCGGAAUUACUGGGCGUAAAGCGCGUGUAGGCGGCUAAGCAAGUCGGGCGUGAAAUCCCACCGCUCAACGGUGGAAGUGCACCCGAAACUGCAUAGCUAGAGUCCUGGAGAGGAAGGUGGAAUGCUUGGUGUAGAGGUGAAAUUCGUAGAUAUCAAGCGGAACACCGGUGGCGAAGGCGGCCUUCUGGACAGUGACUGACGCUGAGACGUGAAAGCGUGGGGAGCAAACAGG
rnacentral:rRNA from 1 species